GCAUUCAGGUGACCGCUGCACGCUUGUCGUGUAGAGGAAAGUCCAUGCUCGCACGGGCUGAGAUGCUCGUAGUGUUCGUGCCUAGCCAAUUCAUAAGCUAGGGUAGUCUGGUUUUGACUGGGCUAACGGCAAGGUAAGCACCUAAGUCGAUUGAUAUGGUGUGAGGCCUUUGAAAGUGCCACAGUGACGUAGUCCGUUUGGAAACAAACGGAGUGGAACGCGGUAAACCCCUCGAGCGAGAAACCCAAAACAUGGUAGGGGCAUCUUCUUAACUGGAAAUGAACAGGUGAGAAGAACAAGGGUAUCCUUGUAGAUAGAUGGUUACCACUGGAGUACGAGGCUCAUCACCGUUUGCAGUACAAAGGUACAGAACAUGGCUUAUCGAA
rnacentral:RNase_P_RNA from 1 species